UUGAACGCUGGCGGCAGGCCUAACACAUGCAAGUCGAGCGGAUGAAGGGAGCUUGCUCCUGGAUUCAGCGGCGGACGGGUGAGUAAUGCCUAGGAAUCUGCCUGGUAGUGGGGGAUAACGUCCGGAAACGGGCGCUAAUACCGCAUACGUCCUGAGGGAGAAAGUGGGGGAUCUUCGGACCUCGCGCUAUCAGAUGAGCCUAGGUCGGAUUAGCUAGUUGGUGGGGUAAAGGCCUACCAAGGCGACGAUCCGUAACUGGUCUGAGAGGAUGAUCAGUCACACUGGAACUGAGACACGGUCCAGACUCCUACGGGAGGCAGCAGUGGGGAAUAUUGGACAAUGGGCGAAAGCCUGAUCCAGCCAUGCCGCGUGUGUGAAGAAGGUCUUCGGAUUGUAAAGCACUUUAAGUUGGGAGGAAGGGCAGUAAGUUAAUACCUUGCUGUUUUGACGUUACCAACAGAAUAAGCACCGGCUAACUUCGUG
rnacentral:rRNA from 1 species